CUCGUAGGCGGUCUUGUAAGUCAGAUGUGAAAUCGUUCUGCUUAACAGAACAACUGCAUUUGAAACUACUUGACUUGAGUACAGAAGGGGAAAACAGAAUUUUCGGUGUAGCGGUGAAAUGCGUAGAUAUCGAAAAGAAUACCUGUGGCGAAGGCGGUUUUCUGGUCUGUAACUGACGCUGAGGAGCGAAAGCUAGGGUAGCGAACAGGAUUAGAUACCCUGGUAGUCC
rnacentral:rRNA from 1 species